ACCUGGGUGGCUCAGUCGGUUGAGCGUCCGACUUCGGCUCGGGUCACGAUCUCACGGUUCGUGAGUUCAAGCCCCACGUCGGGCU
rnacentral:tRNA from 1 species